GACGUCAGGAGCCAAAAUGGCGGCGACGGUCGGGGUCUCCUUGAAGCGCGGCUUCCCGGCUGCCGUUCUCGGCAGAGUCGGCCUGCAGGUGAGCCCGGGAGCCGUGGUUCAGUGGGGAGCCGUGCCCGUCACCGAGGCUGCCUGGGUAGAGAGGCCGCGGAGAGGCGGAAGGAGCCCGGGUCCAGGCCUCGGGGGAGGACUUAACCCGGCAUCCUGCUCUUGAGCAUCCUUUCAGACAGCCAUUCCGCGCUUCUCCAUCACCGGAGAGAGAGGCGCGGCCGGGAGGAGGUUGGAAGAGAGAACAGAAAGACAGAGGUCUGGGAGGAGGACAGGGAGAGGUCAAGGUCAUAGGAUGAGCGACCUGUGGUCGGGACCCAGAAUCAAAUCCUGCUAGUUGUACUCCGCCAGGCUUGUGUGAAAGGGAGGCCUGCGGGGUGUCUGGGGUGGGACCCGGGAGGCCAGGUCGCACCUCCAGGUUAGGCUGGUCUGGAUCGGUCAGGUCGGAGGGCGGUGGACUCUGCAAGGCAAUGCACUUGACCCGCAGAGGAAGGGAGACAUGAAAGAAAGCGACCCCGACCCCUUGAAAGAUCCGUACUGUGGAAGUCUGCAGGCAAGACCCGGUUCCCUGAAGCGUGCUUAUUCAGGGGUGUGUAGCGGCACUGAUCUCAUACCGCUGGCAUGGGAUGACAGGCAGAGCCUGGAGCUGCUUUUGUUAAUAAUUCUGUAGUAGCUCUGUCAUAGGUCUCCCCACACGCCCUGUAUCCUCGGGAGCUGCACAGUAGAAGCAUUUAGAAAGGCGAGAAAAACUGCCUCUCCUUACUUUACAGAUACCAUUCAGUCCUCCUCUGGGCUUCUGGAUAGUCCUUCACAGGCGGACAACAGGAACUCCCAUUUUGUUUUGGGGGGUUUUGUUGGUUUUUUUUUUUUUUUUUUUUAGAUUUGUGUGUGUGUGUAUGAGUGUGUGCUUUCAUGUAUAUGCACCAUGUGCCCGUGGAGAAAAGAGAGCUGUAUUUCCUGAACUGGAGUCACAGGUGGUUAUCAGCCGCCAUAUGCGUGCAGGGAACUGAACUCUGCUCCUUCCAAAGUGCUAAGAUGAAUCUCCACCCUGUGAUAAUUUUAGUGUUGUUUUGGUUAGGUUUUGACUUUUCGGACAGUGUCUUUAUGCAACCCUGGCUGGCCUGGAACUCAGAGAUUCUCCGGCUUCAGCCUUCUGGGUGCUGGGAUUAAAGGUGUGAGCCACCACCACCACCCGACUUGUGCAUCCCUUUGCAUGCACACCUAUCACACCAGCACUCCAAAGGCUGAUGCAGCAAGAUCAGGAGUUUAAGGACAUCCUCAGCCCCACACGGAAUCCAAGGCCAACCUGGGCUACUUGGGACCCUGUCUCAACAAAAACAGACAGUGCCUUACCAGAGCCUCAGGCUGGUGUCCCAGAUAUUCAGUUAAUGAUUCUGUUUUUGUUGUUGAGAAUGUUAUGCAUGAGUACUGUAUUUAAAUAAUUUCCACCCCCUCUCUCCUCCCAUGCCUCCCCUCCCUUUCACACUCAUGACUUCUUUAAUUAUCAUUGCUAAAUAUAUACAUACACAAUCUCUUAAGUGCAUUUAGUGUUCCUUAUGCAUGACGAGUUUAGGGCUGAGAACAUGGGAUGAAUAAUCACAACACCAGUCCGUGCCAAGGGGAAUGGGAGAAAUUUCACAAGGCCCCACCCCUAGUUGAAGAGCUGCAGCAAUCAGUGGCUAACAAAGGGGGUGUGUCGGUUUGGGGGAGGAGCCACAUGAUAGGUUGUCCAGUUAAUGGUUCUUGGUGACCUUGUUCUUCAGCCUCUUUCCUCGUUGCUGAGGCAGCAGUUGAGUUGUAAGAGCCCUGCUGUAAGGGGUGACUUCUCAGGCUCAGGCUGGGCUUUCUGAGUGUAGAAGAGGCUGGCUUCAAAGGUCGGACUCUGGUAGGAUUUCAGGAGAGGCCUUUGCCUACUUUCCAGAGGCCUCCUGUCUGUGGGAAUGCAUAUUUGUGCUCAAACAGCGCCAUCCUCAGUUCUGGUUCUCAGUCCUGUGAUGUGCACCUCUGGACUGCAGUCCUGCCUGUGGGAGUUUAGCUGCACUCGGUUAACUACCAGUAGCAUCCUUAUUUCUCCGUCUGGACUAUGAACUCCAGGAGGGCAGACGCCUGGAAUGCCCGCCUGCAGUCAGAACAAUACAAAUACAUAUAUAAGCCAGUGUUGAAAAGCACAGAUCGGGGCUGGAGAGAUGGCUCAGAGGUUAAGAGCACUGACUGCUUUUCCGAAGGUCCUAAGUUCAAAUCCCAACAACCACAUGGUGGCUCACAACCAUCUUUAAAGAGAUCGGAUGCCCUCUUCUGGUGUGUCUGAAGACAGCUACAGUGUACUUAGAUAUAAUAAUAAGUAAAUCUUU
rnacentral:lncRNA from 1 species